rnacentral:rRNA from 1 species
ACGGAGGGUGCAAGCGUUAAUCGGAAUCACUGGGCGUAAAGCGCGCGUAGGCGGUCUUUUAAGUCGGACGUGAAAGCCCUCGGCUCAACCGGGGAACUGCGUUCGAAACUGGGGGACUUGAGUCUUGGAGAGGGGGGCGGAAUUCCGGGUGUAGGAGUGAAAUGCGUAGAUAUGCGGAGGAACACCGAUGGCGAAGGCGGCCACCUGGGCUGGUACUGACGCUGAUGCGCGAAAGCGUGGGGAGCAAACAG